CUGAGCUCUCAGCUUGAAGCAGAACUGAGCACAUUUGUGCAGGGGAAUCCAUGCCUCAUGCCACUUUCCAGUCUGCUCUGGGUGUUCCUGGCCUUCACCUUCUCUGGAUCUGGUGUGGCCCAGAAAGUUACUCAAGACCAGCCAUACAUAACCAGUCAAAUAGGGCAAUCUGUCAUUCUGAACUGUCGGUAUGAAGUAAGUUGGAGUAGGUACACGCACUACCUUUUUUGGUACAAGCAGCUUCCCAGUGGAGAGAUGACUUUCCUUCUUCGUCAGGAAUCUUCUGGCCCGAAUGCAAGGAACGGCCGCUACUCUGUAGACUUUCGGAAAGCACAGAACUCCAUCAGCCUCACCAUUUCAGCCUUACAACUGGAAGACUCCGCAAAGUACUUUUGUGCACUAUGGGAACUCACAGUGCUUGAAUGGUAUAAGCAGAGCCCUGGGGGAAGUCCUGUCCUCUUGAUGAUAUUAGCUAAGGGUGGAGAAGUGAAGACGGAGCAGAGACUGACAGGUCGGUCUGGAGAGACCAGAAAGCACAGCUCCCUGCACCUCAUGGCCGCCCAGCCCUCAGAUGUAGGAACCUACUUCCUCAACUAUGGUGAAGACUUUGAGAAGCGCAGGCACAGUGGGGAAGAUCCUCCGUAG